rnacentral:rRNA from 1 species
UACGGAGGGUGCAAGCGUUAUCCGGAUUCACUGGGUUUAAAGGGUGCGUAGGUGGGCAGGUAAGUCAGUGGUGAAAUCUCCGGGCUUAACCCGGAACUGCCGUUGAUACUAUCUGUCUUGAAUAUCCUGGAGGUGAGCGGAAUAUGUCAUGUAGCGGUGAAAUGCUUAGAUAUGACAUAGAACACCAAUUGCGAAGGCAGCUUACUACACAAUUAUUGACGCUGAGGCACGAAAGCGUGGGGAUCAAACAGG